GUCCAGGGUAGCCUAGUGGUCAUGGCAUCUGCCUGGUCGUGGGUUCGAUUCCCAUCCCUUGACA